AUCACUAACCACUAGUUUAUUUUUUUUUUUUUUUAUUUUUUUUUUUUUUUUGAAAGAUCACUAAUCACUAGUUGAAAAAACUUAAAUGACACCAAAGCAAUGCAUUAGUUUUCCAUUCUUUUUGUCAUCAUCCAAUUCAAUUUCACAAUCUAGGGUUUUAUCCUUAAUUUUAUUCUCAAACACUCAUUUUAGGGUUCACCUAAACGCAUAUAGUGAACUAUUGUUUAUAGUUACUGAACUCGAUUUUGUUGCUAUGGAAUUAUACUAAUAGAAAAAAGAAAAAAGACUUAUAGAGAAAGACACCAAUUUUUAGUGGAUGCGUAGACCGAAAAAAACCCCAAUAAAAUGUGGUUAAUAAAUAAAAAUCGGAUUAGACAUAAAUAAUCCGUUAAAUGAAGAUCGGUGCCCAAAAAAUUCAAUGGUAGCGUUUUUCAUUUGAUCGGUUUUUUGAUUUUGCAUUUGAUUUUGAUUAGUAGUAUUAUUUUUAUUCCUUUUUUUUUAGUCAUUCAUUCUUACCCCAAUAGUUCAAUACGGCAAUACUACCUACCUAUGGCUAUUACAUAAUUUUUUUUUACCGAAGUAGUGACUAUGCGGUAAAUUUUUUUAUUUUUAUUUUUAUUGAAGAAAAUGAGGUAAAUGGUAAUACCCACUUAUGCAGUUAUGCGUAUGCUUCAUCUUUCUCCUCUCAAAAUCACUGUAUUAUAUCUCUCGUAAAAAGAAAAAAAAAAAAAAAAAAAAAAAGAAAAAACACCUCUUGUACUUCAUCUCUCUCAUCUCAAAGUUUUUCAAGUACUCAAUGACUCCAUCUUCCUCAUCACCUCCACGACUUCCUCACCUCCAUGCCUGAUUGCCUUCCUCCAUUUCACGGCCUUUGACACAUCAUCCUCGACCAUCGUCUGCAAGUCCUGGAUUAAAUUUUUGCGAUUAAUAAGGUAGAAUGCGAAUGAAAUUUCCUCAAGAUCGAAAAUAUGCAGCCUUAAUUCGAGGAAAAUCGAAAAUUCCAGACUGAAUUUCGAACCAAUUUCAGGGGUUUCAUGCCAUAAUUCAAGCAAAAAAAAAUUCGAAUCAAAUUCAAGUUAGGGUUUCUGGUUUAUUUAGCUUUGUGUUUUUUCGGGGCUUUUUUUAGUCCAAUUAUUCAUGUUAAAUGCUUUGAUUUCUCGGGGUUAAAUUGAUGCAAAUUGUUCAGCGGUUAAUUUUGAUGAAUCCUGUUUCCUCCAAAAUUCUAUUUUUUUCUGAGUAAAUAGGUGAAACAGCUUUUGAAUUUUGUUUAUAUAUAUAAAUUUGCUAACUUUGUGUUUCAUUUUGUAUGAUUUGUGUUUGAGUUUAUUUCAAUUUAGUUUUGCGUGAUUGAACUUGCAAUUCUAUUUUAAAGGUGAAAUUCCCUUUUUUCUUCUUUUAAUUGGGUUGUCUACAUCAAAAACAGUUUCAUCAACUAUUCAACUGGUGUGUCAAUGUUGCCACCCUCUGAGAACUUCUGAACUGUUAAUUCUUUCAACUCCUUAAGUCCCUGUUAGGAGUUUUGAGUUCAACAUAAAGGAAGCAACACUAUAAUCCGUAUUAGUAAUACUAAUUACAAAUUUAGGUCAGCUAUUUUACCAGAGAAUAUGGUAUCUGAUAGACAAGAAGCGUCUGCAUAUCUUGGGACUGUAGCAGCCUCUGUGACUCCUCAACCCCUUGCUCUGAAAAGGAACUCUCUCUUCCAAAGAGGCUUGCAGCCACAUAACUAUAGUCUUCCAGUAGUGCUCCAAAAAGGGUUAUCCAUAGCACUUGUUUCAGCAGCAACUAGUGGGAGUAAAAAUAUUAUCUUGGACUGAUAAUGGUCCUCAUGAGAGGUGGAAGAAAGAAUGUUCUUGUGGAUGUGCUGGAAUCUUUAAUGCUCCUGUUGCUCUAUCACUAUUUGCCAAAAUAUUUGAAGAGGUAUGCAUUCAUAACAGAAGUAGAAGUGGCUUAGGAUGGUCAGAGAAAGCAAAAUGUUUUAGAUGCUCGAGGGUUUGCCACUGUUGCUGUAUUUGGGCGCUGUUGCUGCCGCUACAACUACUGUUGGAACAUUGCUAUUGCUUCUGCUUCUGUCUUGUUGAUUAUUACUGCUUCAAUUGUAGUGUACUCUUAAACAUUUUUUUUUUUCAUUUUUUUGGAUGAACAGUGUAUAUUUACAAGCUAUUAAUGAAAAUAUCUAAGUUUUAUGUGUAUA